UACGAAGGGGGCUAGCGUUGCUCGGAAUUACUGGGCGUAAAGCGCACGUAGGCGGCUCUUUAAGUCGGAGGUGAAAUCCAGGAGCUCAACUCCAGAACUGCCUUCGAUACUGAAGAGCUCGAGUCCGGGAGAGGUGAGUGGAACUGCGAGUGUAGAGGUGAAAUUCGUAGAUAUUCGCAAGAACACCGGUGGCGAAGGCGGCCAACUGGACCAGUACUGACGCUGAGGCGCGAAAGCGUGGGGAGCGAACCGG
rnacentral:rRNA from 1 species